ensembl:lncRNA
AUAGUUAAUGUUGGUUAUUCAUAGAGCACUGUAGUUCGACAUUAUCAUACCUUACUGAUUAUGUAAAAAGAAAAGAGUUACUUUUUGGAAGUAGAGAGGACAUGUGAUUAACUGCACUCAUGACUGAGUCUGACUUCCUUUAUAUACUGAGACCUUUUUUAUUUAACAUAAUAGAUGUCCCUGCCAUUGCAGCUGUAAUAAAAUUCACCACAUUACAUUUGCUGAUUGCCUUCCCCACUUAGAGUUUGGCAGGGACCUGCCAAAUUAUGAAAAAGGAAUUCCAGUUUCCAUUUUAUUUGAGUUUGAUAGAAGGUAGUACCCUCCAUAAAUCAGAUUUUAAGUUGCUGCCUUUACUCCACAGGUCAGCGGGCUGCUAUCGCAGGGGCCACAGCCAUCGUCGGCCUGCUAGAUGCUAUGAGAUCUGUAUCUAUUUUGGGAGCAGUUCACUUGUCAGAGAGGUUGAUAUCUGUCCUUCAGACUCUGGCUACCAGCUUCAGUGGUUUCUACAUCCUCAUUUAAGUUCUCCUCCUACAGCUAGCUGGUGUCCAGAUAGUUCAGCUGGCUGAGUGGGCGACUCAUAAACAGGGGCUAUAGUCCGACGCAGCGCUCAUAGGUUCGAAUCCAGCCAUUUACA